AGGAAGGGAAGGAGGUGAGACUGCAGGAGUUGAUGAAGGAUAAAGGUCCGGUUUGGGACGAAAUCGUGAGGGAGAAUGGCUUGUCGUCAACCAAGUUGGAGGAUGUUGGGAUUUGGUGGUUUGUUGAUCAUAUGUUUGAGCAUGCAUGUAUGUUGGAUACAAUGAACAAAAGCAAGGAGCAUGGAUUCCUUGGAUUCAGGAAUUCCAAGAAUUCCUUCAUUUCUUGGAUUGAUAAGGUGAAAGCUUACAAGAUUGUUCCUUAAAUUGUAUACAUGUCUGCUAUGUGCUUCGUUACUGAGUUUGUUUCCUUGGUUGUUAGUGUGUUAUGCAUCGUUUCUUUAUUGAACGAAAUGGAAUAAAUCUGUAUAAUAAGAUUGGCUUCAAUUGGGAAGAGAAAAUGAUGUGGAAAUAUACAUAGUUGGUGGAUGUAAUUUCCUUUUGGAUUUGGUGGUGUGCUUGUGUUUGCUGCCUUGAUGGUAUAUGUAAAUUUCAGUUUCUGUACUUUUGUCCUGGAUUUCAGCAAUUAAUGAUGUUGUUAUUACAUUUAUUUUGUUUCAACUCUAUGAAGAGGAAAAAUUAUCCUAAG
rnacentral:lncRNA from 1 species